rnacentral:lncRNA from 1 species
AGCACUUACACAGACUUAGAAAAAAAUGUAAGAACAUUAAUUCAAAAGGACUCACUGAAGAAUAAACAGAAUUUUCCAUGAUUUCCUUGAGGACAUACAUAACUCAUUCUUUAGGGAGGGUCCCUCAAAGUCCAACCAUUAGAAACCGUAUUCUCUAAUUGUGUACUAGCAACACACAAGCAUCUUUUUUUAAAAAAAUCCCCCAGUUGCCAAGAGAGUGAUCUUAAAGUAGAUGGGAACCUAAAGGUCUCUGAGUAAUAGCAAUUUAUGUUCCUCAAGUAGAAGAAUCAAUCAAUCUAAAUCCCAAUCAACAAAAUAGGUUCACUCUGUAUUAUGAUUUUAUAACAAGUUAAAGUUCUGAUUUUGCCACCAGAAUUACUACUACCUGUUCAGAGGACUCUAAAGCUCAAAAUAAGAAUUGAGCAUAAUGUGAAGUUGGUAAGUCUAAUUGCAUUAUAUAGAUUCAAGAUGACCUCUUCUAAAUAAUACUGAAAAAAGCACUCACCAACUACAAUUUGAAUGUGGCUUUUGUUGGCAGAAAAAACUCACACCCGAAAAUUAUAGGUAAUCUUCCCCACUUCCGUUACUAAAUGUUGUCUUAUGAACUGAUUUUAAAGGUCCUCCCCUUAGAGCUAAGUUUUCAGUUCUGAUACCUUUUGUAAAAAACUGCACG